GGCAUUAUUAAUGGAUUUGAACUGGAAUGAAUGUCUUGGAUUUGAUUUAGCGUCAUUCGGCAUCCAUGAAUUUUCUCAAUAAUUUAAGAGUCUUUGCCUUUACAAGUUACAUUUAUUGUCCUGGAAUGUGAUUAUUAACUUGCCACCCUAAACCCUGACUUCUUUCCAUUUCCCUGAUGGUUGAUUUUUUAGGCACUGUUUUUGCUCCUUAGUUUGCUUGACCUUGCAUUUUCAGGUUCGUUUUCUAAUAAAAUACAAGGCAGAGUACAAUUAUUUUGUAUGUCAUCAUGUGUAUAUAGUUCAUUGUUUGCUGGUUGAUUUUGGUAGAUUAAAAAAAUUGAAUGUGAAGGGUUUCUAUUCCUAUAUUGUUGGCCUCGUACUUUGAAACAAGUUUUAUAUUUGUCAUUUAUUAUAUCUGCAAAACUUCAUUCAAAACUGAUAUUAUUUACCCAUUCAGAAGCAUGAAUAAAGUUUUUGUUUUGAAAAAAAUGACUUAGGAUAGCGUAUG
rnacentral:lncRNA from 1 species